rnacentral:rRNA from 1 species
AACGCGAAGAACCUUACCUGGGCUCGAACGGCUUCUCAACGCCGGUGGAAACAUCGGUACCCCGCAAGGGGGUGGAGUCGAGGUGCUGCAUGGCUGUCGUCAGCUCGUGUCGUGAGAUGUUGGGUUAAGUCCCGCAACGAGCGCAACCCUUGUCCUGUGUUGCCAUCAUUCAGUUGGGAACUCGCAGGAGACCGCCAGGGAUAACCUGGAGGAAGGUGGGGAUGACGUCAAGUCCUCAUGGCCUUUAUGUCCAGGGCUACACACGUGCUACAAUGGACGGUACAAAGCGCAGCAAACCCGCGAGGGGGAGCCAAUCGCAAAAAACCGUUCUCAGUUCGGAUUGCAGGCUGCAACUCGCCUGCAUGAAGCUGGAAUCGCUAGUAAUGGCAGAUCAGCACGCUGCCGUGAAUACGUUCCCGGGCCUUGUA